rnacentral:misc_RNA from 1 species
GUUUUAAAUAUAUAUAAAAGACAUCUCAAUUUUAACAAUAGUUGUCAAAUAAAAUACAAACAAAAUAGUUUGAGAUUUCUCUCUUGCUAUCUCAUUUGCAUAGAGUGCACAAGGAAUAUAAAAUGAAUGUUACGGAGUGACACAUGCAUCCAUACACCUAAAUGAAUAAAUGCCAGCACAUCCUAUUCAAAUCAAUAAUGAUCCUUCCGCAGGUUCACCUACGGAAA